rnacentral:rRNA from 1 species
AGCGAACGCUGGCGGCAGGCUUAACACAUGCAAGUCGAGCGGGCGUAGCAAUACGUCAGCGGCAGACGGGUGAGUAACGCGUGGGAACGUACCUUUUGGUUCGGAACAACACAGGGAAACUUGUGCUAAUACCGGAUAAGCCCUUACGGGGAAAGAUUUAUCGCCGAAAGAUCGGCCCGCGUCUGAUUAGCUAGUUGGUGAGGUAACGGCUCGCCAAGGCGACGAUCAGUAGCUGGUCUGAGAGGAUGAUCAGCCACAUUGGGACUGAGACACGGCCCAGACUCCUACGGGAGGCAGCAGUGGGGAAUAUUGGACAAUGGGCGAAAGCCUGAUCCAGCAAUGCCGCGUGAGUGAUGAAGGCCUUAGGGUUGUAAAGCUCUUUUACCGGGGAUGAUAAUGACAGUACCCAGAGAAUAAGCUCCGGCUAACUCCGUGCCAGCAGCCGCGGUAAU